CUGGACGCUUCCGUGGACGGAAAAAUGAGUUCCAAUACAGUUCUUUGAGCACAAGUUUAAAAAGUCAGUCUGAUAAAAAUCGUGUCUAAAAUAAGCAGAUGCAGACUCGCUUGGUUCCGCCGUUUUGAACUCUUUGUAAACAGAUGCAAGCGGACCAAGACGGAUUCUUUCUUCGGACUGUGGUUGCAAAGUCAUCUUGUGUUCCACUUGCUGCCAUUAGUUGUGUCAUCAUCACCUUCUACCAUUGAACUCAGGAUUUUGGCUGCUCAUGGAUGUGUGAGGCGUGUGUUGCUGCAGGAGGAGCCUACAUGCUGACACGGACCCAGCUGGAUUUACAGUGUGCUAAUGUGCUGGCAGUGAAGACACCCCAGCUGCUUCCACAGCACAAGUGAGCAGACUGCGGCACCGCCCACAAAGUAAAGGGCCUCUGGUAGCCAUAGCGGAGCAAAUGCUCAUCUUCUAUCGGCGUCCUACUUGAUGCUGGCUGAAGCCCCAGGCACGGAGAGCCGAGCAAGCGUGGAUGCAGGAGACAAGGCUUUUUCUCAGUGUUGGAUAAACGUAUUGGAUCAUGUGUGUGUGCACACGUGUGAGCAGUGCAGGUUUCCAUGCACUUAAAAGAGGCGGCGGCCAGGGAGCGAAUGACACAGCCGAUGAAUGGGCGAGCGUGGGUGGUCUUCUCCGAGCCGAGCCCAUGGACGUGGAAGUGAACUGUUAAAGGCCGCAGGAGCAGCUUGAGUGAAAUCACAAUAUCUCCAAAUGAGUAACCUACAUGCUGGAGACUGGUGGUGGAGCUGGGGUGCAGAGGGGCUACUCCCUCUACAAAGCAGUUCUUUCACAAGAGGGAAACAUACAUAUGUUGGCCGUUGCGCUUAAUAAAGUUUCAAUAGAUUUAAAUUGCCAAAGAAGCUGAAAUUCGACUGAUGAGAGCCUGCAUGCCCGUGGGUGCUCCUACUAUUCUGUAUCU